CCUACGGGUUGCACCAGUGGGGAAUAUUGCACAAUGGGCGCAAGCCUGAUGCAGCCAUGCCGCGUGUAUGAAGAAGGCCUUCGGGUUGUAAAGUACUUUCAGCGGGGAGGAAGGUGUUGUGGUUAAUAACCGCAGCAAUUGACGUUACCCGCAGAAGAAGCACCGGCUAACUCCAUGCCAGCAGCCGCAGUAAUACGGAGGGUGCAAGCAUUAAUCGGAAUUACUGGGCGUAAAGCGCACGCAGGCGGUCUGUCAAGUCGGAUGUGGAGUCCCCGGGCUCAACCUGGGAACUGCAUUCGAAACUGGCAGGCUAGAGUCUUGUAGAGGGGGGUAGAAUUCCAGGUGUAGCGGUGAAAUGCGUAGAGAUCUGGAGGAGUACCGGUGGCGAAGGCGGCCCCCUGGACAAAGACUGACGCUCAGGUGCGAAAGCGUGGGGAGCAAACAGGAUUAGAUACCCGCGUAGUC
rnacentral:rRNA from 1 species